CACUAUCGCUUUGUAUAUUGCGGGGGUGAUGAAUAGUGAAUGGGAAUCUCUAUGAAUGUAGAUGAUUUCAAAAAUCACGCGUCCUGACCCGCUUGAAGCCUGAUGGGUGGCAUCG
rnacentral:pre_miRNA from 1 species